AGGUCUUGACAUCCCUGACAACCAAGAGAUUGGCGUUCCCCUCGGGGGACAGGGUGACAGGUGGUGCAUGGUUGUCGUCAGCUCGUGUCGUGAGAUGUUGGGUUAAGUCCCGCAACGAGCGCAACCCUCGCCUCUAGUUGCCAGCAUUCGGUUGGGCACUCUAGAGGGACUGCCGGCGACAAGUCGGAGGAAGGUGGGAUGACGUCAAAUCAUCAUGCCCCUUAUGACCUGGGCUACACACGUGCUACAAUGGGCGGUACAAAGGGCUGCGAACCCGCGAGGGGGAGCGAAUCCCAAAAAGCCGCUCUCAGUUCGGAUUGCAGGCUGCAACUCGCCUGCAUGAAGCCGGAAUCGCUAGUAAUCGCGGAUCAGCAUGCCGCGGUGAAUACGUUCCCGGGCCUU
rnacentral:rRNA from 1 species